rnacentral:rRNA from 1 species
UACGUAGGGUGCAAGCGUUAAUCGGAAUUACUGGGCGUAAAGCGUGCGCAGGUGGCUCUGCAAGACAGAUGUGAAAUCCCCGGGCUUAACCUGGGAACUGCAUUUGUGACUGCAUCGCUGGAGUGCGGCAGAGGGGGAUGGAAUUCCGGCGUGUAGCAGUGAAAUGCGUAGAUAUGCGGAGGAACACCGAUGGCGAAGGCAAUCCCCUGGGCCUGCACUGACGCUCAUGCACGAAAGCGUGGGGAGCAAACAGG